UUUACGACUGUACCUGCAACUUAGGGAAGGUUCCGGGCCAGGCGUAGAAUUGGAGCUGCAGCUGUAGGUCUACACCACAGCCACAGCAACGUGGCAUCUGAGCCGCAUCUGCAACCCACACCAUAGCUUGUGGCAACGCCGGACCCUUCACCCCCUGAGUGAGGCCAGGGAUCAAACCCGCAUCCUCAUGGAUACCAGUCGGGUUCUUAACCUGCGGAGCCACAAUGGGAACUCCCUGCCUCUUUAGGUUUUUGUGUGACUUCUGCUCAGCGACAUUAAGCACAUGGCUUGGCCGCCUUUUCCCCUGCAGAUCCAGAGAGGAAACAUCGGGGCUGUACCCGUGGACUCAAGGACUCAGCUCUGCCCUGCGGUGGGCACGCAGAUGGACAUAGCCUCGACGGGUGGACGUGGUUGUGGGCGCGUGACAUGAGGAGCCAGAGACACGCAGAAUGAGGUUUCUCCUGAGCAGGAAGCGUGCCCGUGAGCAACCAGCUGAGAAGUCGACCCAUCACAUGUGAAAAUGAGAAAGUCCCGUCGAGGCCAGACCCCGCUGUCCUUGGAAAGGUGUUGAGUUGAUUUCUUCCAAGGGGUGAGGGAGCAAUUCAGGUUCCCUGCCCAGCGGGUGCUCUGCCUCCCUAGUUCCGGAGGCUGGACUUUCAAGACCUGCUGAGAGCCAUCUUCCUGGUUCAUCAAUGGACGUUCUCUCCAUCAGGACAGAGACAAGACAGUUCCUUCUUACCCGUGAGAGAUACAUGUAUUGUCCAUGACUCCGCAGGAAAUUGAGUUCCCGAACCCGAUGCAGAGAUGGGGAAGGGGGGAGCCAAAAGAAGGGUUUGCUGUCCAUCUUUGGCGCCAGAGGAAAAGUCAGCCCCCAGAAGCUAAGCACUGAGAAGUCCAAUCUUCCACAUCCAGGGGUUUCCAGAUUCCCACUCGUGUAAGAAAUGCAGCGUGAUGUCCCAGUUUUCGUGUUUUUCUUGAGAUGUGGUCCCCUUGGAGGAGCUUCCCCUGCCAGGAUGGAAUUUGAGAGCUUUCGGCUCGAGAAGAAGGGAAAUGCCCCGAACAGCCACCCGCCAGGCCCCUUGUGGCCGCUGAGAAGUUGGGGAGGAUGCAGCCAUAAAGGAGGAUGUGAAAAGUAGGCGAGAUCGCAAGGCACGAAUCUUGGAAUCUUCGUGUUUCAUCAGGAAGGCAGAGGAGGAAGGAGUCUGCGAGGUGCAGCCGCCUCUUCUGACCUCAGGAUGGAUGGAGAGGGCGUGAAGGACCCGUCAGUGACCAGCUGUUGCACAGAGAGCCCAGGGGAAGGGGGUGCCCUGGCGGGCACAUGGGAACCGAUGCUGCAGCUCAUGAAAAGUUGGAGGAACAAACUGCUUUGUCCCAGGAGAAGAGGAGCAGGAUGGAACGGACGCCCGCUGUAAUCGUGGGCGGAACCGGAGGGACGGAUGCAACGCUUGGCGCUUCCGAUUCUGACAGUGGCUGACCUCACGGGAGAUGGAUGGGGAAGGGUCCAGAUGUUUCGAUGAGGAAACGGAGGCCACUAAGUGUUGUGUAACGUCCCAAGGGGACCCAGCUCUGAAGCGGUGGAGUCAGAAUGGGUUGCUUAACAGCCACCCCCACCCUCGGCUCGGAAGACGUCCACACCCAGUACAUGUAUUGUCCAUGACUCCGCAGGAAAUUGAGUUCCCGAACCCGAUGCAGAGAUGGGGAAGGGGGGAGCCAAAAGAAGGGUUUGCUGUCCAUCUUUGGCGCCAGAGGAAAAGUCAGCCCCCAGAAGCUAAGCACUGAGAAGUCCAAUCUUCCACAUCCAGGGGUUUCCAGAUUCCCACUCGUGUAAGAAAUGCAGCGUGAUGUCCCAGUUUUCGUGUUUUUCUUGAGAUGUGGUCCCCUUGGAGGAGCUUCCCCUGCCAGGAUGGAAUUUGAGAGCUUUCGGCUCGAGAAGAAGGGAAAUGCCCCGAACAGCCACCCGCCAGGCCCCUUGUGGCCGCUGAGAAGUUGGGGAGGAUGCAGCCAUAAAGGAGGAUGUGAAAAGUAGGCGAGAUCGCAAGGCACGAAUCUUGGAAUCUUCGUGUUUCAUCAGGAAGGCAGAGGAGGAAGGAGUCUGCGAGGUGCAGCCGCCUCUUCUGACCUCAGGAUGGAUGGAGAGGGCGUGAAGGACCCGUCAGUGACCAGCUGUUGCACAGAGAGCCCAGGGGAAGGGGGUGCCCUGGCGGGCACAUGGGAACCGAUGCUGCAGCUCAUGAAAAGUUGGAGGAACAAACUGCUUUGUCCCAGGAGAAGAGGAGCAGGAUGGAACGGACGCCCGCUGUAAUCGUGGGCGGAACCGGAGGGACGGAUGCAACGCUUGGCGCUUCCGAUUCUGACAGUGGCUGACCUCACGGGAGAUGGAUGGGGAAGGGUCCAGAUGUUUCGAUGAGGAAACGGAGGCCACUAAGUGUUGUGUAACGUCCCAAGGGGACCCAGCUCUGAAGCGGUGGAGUCAGAAUGGGUUGCUUAACAGCCACCCCCACCCUCGGCUCGGAAGACGUCCACACCCAGCUGAUGGUGACUCUCUCCCGAGAUGAACCUCCUUCGUGGUCUGCGGAAGAAUUCCCGCUAAGAGCAGUGCUGUCUCCCACCCAGCCUGCGUCUGCCCAGUGUGGUCUGUGCCUGGAGAGCGCGACCAAAAAUCAGGUCUCCCGAGUGUCCACGCUGGGGAUUCGCGCUGCGGCGUAAGCAGCAGAGCGCUCAUCUGCAGCUUUGCUGUGUUGGCUCUCGGACCCUUCCGUGGACCCAGAGGGGCUCAGCCCACCAAGGUGGGGUGGAGGAAGCAGAAAUGGGAUUCCUCCACCUUCGCUCCUACGCCCGGGAGCUCUUGGCACACGUCAGCCACCCCAACAUGUGUGGGAUCCACGAAGACGGGUGUUGCUGCAAGGGUCCGAGUAAACUCGGAGACGGAGGUUUUGUGUCGUCGCUGUGUUUCCAUGCAACCAGGGAGAACCAGAAGGUGGCUGUUUGGCCAAGGGGUUGCAUGCAUGAUGACCUCUCCCCCCGCCAGCCGCUUGGAAAAAUGAAAGUGACACGACAAAAACAAAUGCCCAGCUCCAAUCAAAACCAGAUGGGUGCAGCCUUGAGACUCUCUCUCGCUCUGUGUGUGUGUGUGUGUGUGUGUGUGUGUGUGUGUUCAGUUUCCUCUCCAUCUUAUUUCACAUCCUCUAAGAUGGAUGCGACGUCCAGAAAUGACUUUGCGUGGGGAGAGCUCCCGUUUGUGGGGGGACCACAGCAGUAGACACGCAGAUACCCUAGUUCUGAGUCAGCCUGGGAGACGGAGCCUGUUGUACGUAGGGGGACACGUCUGGAACAAAUUAGACGCGUCCCUAAAUACCCAUCCGGGCAGUAGCUUUAACGUAAUUGAUGGAUUUUCCUCUGCAGACUCGGGCUGAGUGGAACGGCCUCAGCCAGGGCCAGCUCUCAGCCAGUCGACAGGACCUUGAGGCUUAGGUGGUGGACACUUUUUGGGGGUUUUUUGGCCUUAGGGCACAAUCUCAUCUUUCUGCUUUUCGAAGACGUGGCUUCCUCAACAGAAAGGAUACGUGCACAGGGAAAUGCACCAGAACUGAAAACGGCUGAGAAACGUCUCAUGUUUACUUGGUCUGGACUUAGGCUUCUGGAUAUGGCCACGUGCGGGACUUUUUUUUUUUUUUUUCUUUUUUUUUUUUUUGCAAACUGCAUUAAAUAAGGGCAUUCCACGGUUUCUGGAGGCAGUGGGUAGCCCUGGCAUUGUAACCAAGCAUGUUUAGAGUCCACUCUGUGCUUGCUUGCUUGCUU